UUUUUAGGCGUGAUGUGGCUAAAAUAGCCGCCCUUUCACGCCUGCUUAUUUAAUUUAGGAGAUAUUGUUAAAUGGCUCGUAUAGCUGGUAUUAACAUUCCGGUA
rfam:Kangiella geojedonensis strain YCS-5, complete genome.